AUACGUAGGUGGCGAGCGUUGUCCGGAAUUACUGGGUGUAAAGGGCGUGUAGGCGGGGAUGCAAGUCAGAUGUGAAAUACUAAGGCUUAACCUUGGGGCUGCAUCUGAAACUGUGUUUCUUGAGUGUCGGAGAGGAAAGCGGAAUUCCCAGUGUAGCGGUGAAAUGCGUAGAGAUUGGGAGGAACACCAGUGGCGAAGGCGGCUUUCUGGACGACAACUGACGCUGAGGCGCGAAAGCGUGGGGAGCAAACAGGAUUAGAUACCCUGGUAGUCCACGCCGUAAACGAUGGAUACUAGGUGUAGGAGGUAUCGACCCCUUCUGUGCCGGAGUUAACACAAUAAGCAAUCCACCUGGGGAGUACGGCCGCAAGGUUAAC
rnacentral:rRNA from 1 species